AUGAACGCUGGCGGCGUGCCUAACACAUGCAAGUCGAACGUGAUCCCUUUCUUCGGAUUGGGUGAAAGUGGCGGACGGGUGAGUAACACGUUGGUGACCUGCCUCGAAGACAGGGAUAACCCUUCGAAAGAGGGGCUAAUACCUGAUGUGCUUGUGCUCUUUAGAAAGGUACAAGUAAAGUUCAGGCGCUUCGAGAGGGACCAGCGGCCUAUCAGCUAGUUGGUGAGGUAACGGCCCACCAAGGCUAUGACGGGUAGGGGGCGUGAGAGCGUGACCCCCCACAAUGGAACUGAGACACGGUCCAUACUCCUUCGGGAGGCAGCAGUGAGGAAUAUUGCACAAUGGGGGAAACCCUGAUGCAGCAACGCCGCGUGGGUGAUGAAGGUCUUCGGAUCGUAAAACCCUUUUCUGGGGGAAGAGUUGGGACGGUACCCCAGGAAUAAGUCCCGGCUAACUACGU
rnacentral:rRNA from 1 species